GUGAGCUGGUCCAACUAUUUUGGGAUGGGAGUGAACACCGAGGGGCUGAUCAUCAUCGGAGGCCUCAUCGAGUCCUUCGAGAUCCCCUUUAAGGGCGCUCUCCAGCAGCUGACCUUCGUGAUGGGAGACCCAGGAGCUGCUGCUGAGCAGUGCCACAGCUACAACUCAACCUGCCCAGGCUCCUCCAGCCUCCACAGGGCCCCGUGGGAGCUCCCAACAGCCUGGCCAGAGGUGCCAAAGGAAACCAAUGAAAUCCAGGAUUCAUCUACUCAGGAUUCCAGACUCACCAGUUCAGAUUCGGCCCCGGGGUCACCUUGGCCAUGGGAGGAUGCCCAGGGGACCCUCAGCCUCCAGCCUGAUGGGAGUGCCCUGGCUUCCCUCUCUGCUCAUGAGUUGCCAUCAGCUGAGGAGGAGGAGGAGGAGGAGGGCAGCCUUUCCAUUGAGGAUGAAGGUUUUGAGCUGCUGAACUCCACCUACAAUAAAAUCACCGGUCCCGGCAGGCCAGCGCUCAGGAGAAGCUCAGCCUCCAUCAAACCCCCCCGAGCAGCCAGGAAGGAGCGUGGCUCUGAUCCCCGUGAGGAGAACGUCACCACGGAGAAGCUGUCGGGGGACGCUGGCGCGCGGUGGCGGCUCCCACCUGGCAAACCUCACCUGGACCCCGUCCCCAAGGUGUCCCCACCUGCUCAUCGGGGGGCUGCUCCCAAAGGAAACGUCCCCAAAGGUCCCCUGAGGGCAGGGGUAGCGCUGGGUGUCCCGCAGCCUCCUCUUGGAGC
rnacentral:lncRNA from 1 species